UACGGGGGGGGCAAGCGUUGUUCGGAAUUACUGGGCGUAAAGGGCUCGUAGGCGGCCAACUAAGUCGGACGUGAAAUCCCUCGGCUUAACCGGGGAACUGCGUCCGAUACUGGAUGGCUUGAGUUCGGGAGGGGGAUGCGGAAUUCCAGGUGUAGCGGUGAAAUGCGUAGAUAUCUGGAGGAACACCGGUGGCGAAGGCGGCAUCCUGGACCGACACUGACGCUGAGGCACGAAAGCGUGGGGAGCAAACAGG
rnacentral:rRNA from 1 species